UACGUAGGGAGCAAGCGUUGUCCGGAAUCAUUGGGCGUAAAGCGCGCGUAGGUGGCCACAUAAGUCCGUUGUGAAAGUCAAAGGCUCCACCUUUGAAAGCCGAUGGAUACUGUGUGGCUAGAGUACGGAAGAGGCGAGUGGAAUUCCUGGUGUAGCGGUGGAAUGCGCAGAUAUCAGGAGGAACACCAAUAGCGAAGGCAGCUCGCUGGGACGUUACUGACACUGAGGCGCGAAAGCGUGGGGAGCGAACAGG
rnacentral:rRNA from 1 species